rnacentral:lncRNA from 1 species
CCAGCAGCCCCCUUUUUUUCCAGACAAGGGGUGUGAACCCUCCUGGGGAUGAGGACUGGUCUUUGAAAAGUGGACUUAGCUUCGUGGGCCUGACAGCUCUGGCCCAGGGUGGUAUGUAAU